rnacentral:rRNA from 1 species
GAAGGACGCGAUAAGCUGCGAAAAGCCAUGGGGAGCCGCAAGUAGGCAUUGAUCCAUGGAUAUCCGAAUGGGGGAACCCGGCGGAGGUAAUGCUCCGUCACCGUUAAAUGAAUCCAUAGUUUAACGGGGGGCACCCGGGGAAGUGAAACAUCUAAGUACCCGGAGGAGAAGAAAGAAAACUCGAUUCCCUUAGUAGUGGCGAGCGAAGAGGGAAGAGGCCAAACCAGGGGUCUACGGACGCCUGGGGUUGCGGGCCAUCGACAAGUGACGAUAGUCGAGCCGAAGAUCGUUGGAAAGCGAUGCCAAAGAGCGUGACAGCCGCGUAGGCGAAGGCGACAAUAGCGAGAUGGUACCAGAGUACCGCGGGACACGAGAAAUCCUGUGGGAAGCAGGGGGGACCACCCCCCAAGCCUAAAGACGAUCAGUGACCGAUAGCGCAUAGUACCGUGAGGGAAAGGUGAAAAGAACCCCGGGAGGGGAGUGAAAGAGAACCUGAAACCCUGUGUUUACAAGCAGAGGAAGCGCGAGCAAGGCGCGACUUUGUACUUUUUGUAGAACGGACCGGCGAGUUGCGUUAUGUUGCGAGGUUAAGGUCUUGAGGACUGGAGCCGAAGCGAGAGCGAGUCUGAACAGGGCGGAAGUAACAUGACGCAGACCCGAAACCGGGCGACCUAUCCAUGGGCAGGUUGAAGUGAAGGUAAAGCUUCAUGGAGGACCGAACCAGACGUCCGUUGAAAAGGGCGGGGAUGACCUGUGGAUAGCGGAGAAAUUCCAAUCGAGCUCGGAUAUAGCUGGUUCUCCUCGAAAUAGCUUUAGGGCUAGCCUCGUGUUAGUCUGAUGGGGGUAGAGCACUGAAUGGGCUAGGGGGUCACAAAGCUUACCGAACCCUAUCAAACUGCGAAUACCAUUGAGACGAUGCACGGGAGUCAGACUGCGAGUUAUAAGAUCCGUAGUCAAAAGGGAAACAGCCCAGAUCGACAGCUAAGGUCCCCAAGUGUGUGUUAAGUGGAAAAGGAUGUGUGAUUGCACAGACAACCAGGAUGUUGGCUUAGAAGCAGCCACUCAUUUAAAGAGUGCGUAAUAGCUCACUGGUCGAGUGAUGAUGCGCCGAAGAUGUCCGGGGCUAAAACACACCACCGAAGCUUCGGGUUCGCUGUAAAGCGAGCGGUAGAGGAGCAUAGUGUGCUGGCUGAAGCGGUAUCGAGAGACGCCGUGGACGGCACAGUAGAGAGAAUGCCGGUAUGAGUAACGAGAUGCAGGCGAGAAACCUGCAGGUCGAAAGCCCAAGGUUUCCUGGGGAAGGUUCAUCCGCCCAGGGUAAGUCGGGGCCUAAGCCGAGGACGAAUGUCGUAGGCGAUGGACAACUGGUGGAGAUUCCAGUACCACCUUCAAGAGCGAAGCGUUGACACAGAAGGAUAGCAUGAGCCGGUUGAUGGUAGAGCCGGUCCAAGCGGUUAGGCUGGUAUGUAGUGAAGUACGCAUACCGAAAGGCGGAGCCGUGAUGGGGAGCGAAAAACAAGUAGUGAAGCAUGUGAAUCCACGCUGGCAAGAAAAGGCGCUGGUAAUGUUGAGGGUGCCCGUACCGCAAACCGACGCAGGUGGGCGAGGAGAGAAUCCUAAGACGAACGAGAGAACCCUUGUUAAGGAACUCGGCAAAAUGACCCCGUAACUUCGGGAGAAGGGGUGCCACUCCGGUGGCCGCAGAGAAUAGGCCCAAGCGACUGUUUAGCAAAAACACAGGUUUGUGCGAAAGCGAGAGCUGACGUAUACGAGCUGACGCCUGCCCGGUGCUGGAAGGUUAAGAGGAGUUGUCAGUCGAAAGAUGAAGCAGCGAAUUGAAGCCCCAGUAAACGGCGGCCGUAACUAUAACGGUCCUAAGGUAGCGAAAUUCCUUGUCGGGUAAGUUCCGACCCGCACGAAUGGCGUAACGACUUGGGCGCUGUCUCAACAAGGGACUCGGUGAAAUUGAAGUAUGGGUGAAGAUGCCCAUUACCCGCGACUGGACGGAAAGACCCCGUAGAGCUUUACUGUAGCUUAUCAUUGGAAUUUGGUAACGGAUGUACAGGAUAGGUGGGACGCUGAGAAGGCAGGACGUCAGUUCUGCUGGAGCGGCCGUUGGGAUACCACUCUUCUGUUACUGAAUUUCUAACAACGUGCAAUAAGCUUGGCGAUGGACAGUGAUAGGUGGGCAGUUUGACUGGGGCGGUCGCCUCCCAAAGAGUAACGGAGGCGCCCAAAGGUUCCCUCAGAAUGGAUGGAAACCAUUCGGAGAGUGCAAUGGCAGAAGGGAGCCUGACUGCGAGACGGACAGGUCGAGCAGAGAGGAAACUCGGGCAUAGUGAUCCGGCGGUAUUGAGUGGAAAAGCCGUCGCUCAACGGAUAAAAGCUACCUCGGGGAUAACAGGCUGAUCUCCCCCAAGAGUCCACAUCGACGGGGAGGUUUGGCACCUCGAUGUCGGCUCGUCGCAUCCUGGGGCUGAAGCAGGUCCCAAGGGUUUGGCUGUUCGCCAAUUAAAGCGGCACGCGAGCUGGGUUCAGAACGUCGUGAGACAGUUCGGUCCCUAUCCAUCGUGGGCGCAGGAAUCAUGAUGGGAGCUGUCCCUAGUACGAGAGGACCGGGAUGGACGCACCUCUGGUGCAACAGUUGUCUUGCCAAAGGCACAGCUGGGAAGCGAAGUGCGGACGGGAUAAACGCUGAAGGCAUCUAAGCGUGAAGCCCCCCUGAAG